AUAUUUUAAUAAAAACUUGCUCGUAUAUCCUCAGAAAUAUGGUCUGAGAGUUUCUACCCGGCAACCUUAAAUUGCUGGACUACGAGUGAAAGUGAAUCUAAG
rfam:Anoxybacillus sp. BCO1 LR68_contig000066, whole genome shotgun sequence.